rnacentral:misc_RNA from 1 species
GAUGAAGAACGUAGCGAAAUGCGAUACUUGGUGUGAAUUGCAGAAUCCCGUGAACCAUCGAGUCUUUGAACGCAAGUUGCGCCCGAAGCCACUAGGCCGAGGGCACGCCUGCCUGGGCGUCACACGUCGUUGCCCCCCCAUCUACUCCUUCGGGAUUGCGGGGGGGCGGAUGAUGGCCUCCCGUGCGCCUAGCCGCGCGGUUGGCAUAAAUACCAAGUCCUCGGCGACGCACGCCACGACAAUCGGUGGUUGCGAAACCUCGGUUGCCCGUCGUGUGCGUUCGUCGCGCAUCGAGGGCUCGAAAAAAUGCUCGGCUUCGGCUCGGCUUUCAACGCGACCCCAGGUCAGGCGGGGUUACCUGCUGAAUUUAAGCAUAUCAAUAAGCGGAGGA